rnacentral:lncRNA from 1 species
GGCUAAGGAGCUGGAGGAACCCGACGCCCCUCGCUGCUCAUCCCAGGAGCCAGACGCACCUUGCCACUUGGCCAAGGAUCUGGAGGAAACCGACUCCCCUCGCUGCUGGCCCCUGGAGCCAGACGCACCGUGCCACUUGGCCAAGGAGUGGGAGGAACCCGACGUCCCUCGGUGCUGGCCCCAGGAACCAGACGCACCGUGCCAUUUGGCCAAAUAUCUAGAGGAACCUGACGCCCCUCUCUGCUGGCCCCAGGAACCAGACGCAUUCUGCUACUUGCUAAAGGAGGUGGAGGAACCCGAUGUCCCUCGCUGCCGGCCUCAAGAGCCAGACGCACCGUGCCACUUGGCUGAGGAACUGGAGGACCUUGACGCCCCUCGCUGCUGGACCCAGGAACCCA